AGCUCCAAUAGCGUAUAUUAAAGUUGUUGCAGUUAAAAAGCUUGUACUUGAAUUUCUGGCAGGAGCGACCGGUCACACACUCUGUGUGUGAACUUGUGUUGUCUCUGGCCAUCCAAGGGGAGAUCCUGUUUGACAUUAAGUUGUUGGGCAGGGGAUACCCAUCGUUUACUGUGAAAAAAAUAGAGUGUUUAAAGCAGUCUUAUGCCGUUGAAUAUAUUAGCAUGGAAUAAUAAGAUAGGACUUCGGAAAUAUUUUGUUGGUUUGCGUUACGAAGUAAUGAUUAAUAGGGACAGUUGGAGAUAUUCGUAUUUCGUUGUCAGAGGUGAAAUUCUUGGAUUUCCGAAAGACAAACUACUGCGAAAGCAUUUACCAGGGAUUUUUUCA
rnacentral:rRNA from 1 species